GGGGAAUAUUGGACAAUGGGGGCAACCCUGAUCCAGCCAUGCCGCGUGUGUGAAGACGGCCUUCGGGUUGUAAAGCACUUUAAGUGGGGAGGAAGGCUCGCUGAUUAAUAAUCAGCGGGAGUGACGUUACCCACAGAAUAAGCACCGGCAAACUCCGUGCCAGCAGCCGCGGUAAUACGGAGGGUGCAAGCGUUAAUCGGAAUUACUGGGCGUAAAGCGCACGCAGGCGGUUUGUUAAGUCAGAUGUGAAAUCCCCGGGCUCAACCUGGGAACUGCAUCUGAUACUGGCAAGCUUGAGUCUCGUAGAGGGGGGUAGAAUUCCCGGUGUAGCGGUGAAAUGCGUAGAGAUCUGGAGGAAUACCGGUGGCGAAGGCGGCCCCCUGGACGAAGACUGACGCUCAGGUGCGAAAGCGUGGGGAGCAAAC
rnacentral:rRNA from 1 species